AGGACGAACGCUGGCGGCGUGCCUAACACAUGCAAGUCGAACGAGGUUGAUCUGGUGGCAACACCAGUGACUACCUAGUGGCGAACGGGUGAGUAACACGUGAGGAACCUGCCCCGAAGACCGGGAUAACCCUCCGAAAGGAGAGCUAAUACCGGAUACCCCCACUGAUCGCAUGAUCGGAUGAGGAAAUGGAUUCCGCUUCGGGAGGGCCUCGCGGCCUAUCAGCUAGGUUGGUGGGUAACGGCCCACCAAGGCAUCGACGGGUAGCUGGUCUGAGAGGACGAUCAGCCACACUGGGACUGAGACACGGCCCAGACUCCGUACGGGAGCAGCAGUGGGAAUCUGCGCAAGUGGGCGAAAGCCUAGACGCGAGCAACGCCGCGGUGGGGAUGGAAGGCUCGUCGGUUACGUAACCC
rnacentral:rRNA from 1 species